AAAUGAAAUGAAUGAAUAAUAAAAAAACAAUUAUGUGUUAUAAUUGUCGAAUGAAAAUAAAAUAUCAAUUGGUAACAGUACAUUUACGUGAAAUAUAAUGACGCAGAAUGUGAUUAAGUUUCUUUGCGUAAAAGAAACGAUUGAUAAAACUCAUGGUCAGGUGUGAGAGGAUCGUAAAAGUUUUCACGCUCGUUCACGCUAUUUUCACGCUCGUCUCCUCUGAUCUUGGUUAAGCGUAUAACAUCAUCAACGACAACAGCACCAGCACUAGCACCAGCAACAGCAGCUGGGUUCAAUGGUGUAACGUUCGAUUAGCCCGGAUGACCGGAUCCUAGCCAAGCCGAGUCGUAAACUCGUGGAGAGUUCAACGAGGCGACAGGAAAUCCGGACGGCCACUCUUCACGUAAAAGACCAACAACUCUUCUCAGUUAACAACUGGACACGAAUGUCCAAGAACCUUUUGUCGGUCAAUGACUCCACCUUCGUACCUCCUAGUUGGCAAAGGGUCGACACACCAGGUGGAGGAAUACGCUCUGAGGCCAACAGAGAAGAAUCUACUCGUCAGUUAAAAGUAUUCAGCACUUAAAGGGUUAAUAGCAAUUAAUAGGAAAUUUAUAUGUUUCUACACCCUCUCCUGAAUUGCUGCAGCACCCACCAGGGAGCAGUGGCGCCCACUUUGGGAAUCACACACUGCCAUAAUAUAUAUUACAGUAAUCAAAUUUGUAAUGAAUCAAAUUGGCUCACGACAGUCCGUAAAUCUAAUGUUAAAUAAAAAAAAAAAAAAGAACAAUCGAUG
rnacentral:lncRNA from 1 species